AGCUCAAAACUUGAAGCAAUUGUUCAAUCAUUCGUCCGAGAUCAAGUCAUUGCGACCCUUGGAUCAACAACCUACGCAUCUACAUCAAAUUUGAAGACCGAAUCAGAGAAAAAUUGUAAACAAAGAUUGUAACCCUACAAAUUCAUCAAUACAAAUCUACUUUAUACAUGUGUUCUCGUUUCAUUCGUUACAGAAUUUUUGUGUUUACAAAUUUGGCACGCCAGUGGGACUUUUCUGCCUUUCAUCUUUGUUUUCAAAUCCACAAGAAACACAUAUGGCAUCAAGAAAUGAUCAAGUUGUUCUUGCAACCAACACGAGGAACAAGAACCUCCUUGUUGCAAGUGGUGGCAUUUUGGGCGUCAUA
rnacentral:lncRNA from 1 species